UACGUAGGCAGCGAGCGUUGUUCGGAGUUACUGGGCGUAAAGGGUGCGUAGGCGGCUUGUUGCGUCGACCGUGAAAACCCGGGGCUCAACUUCGGGCUUGCGGUCGAUACGGGCGGGCUAGAGUUCGGUAGGGGAGACUGGAAUUCCUGGUGUAGCGGUGAAAUGCGCAGAUAUCAGGAGGAACACCGGUGGCGAAGGCAGUUCUCUGGGCCGUAACUGACGCUGAGGCGCGAAAGCGUGGGGAGCAAACAGG
rnacentral:rRNA from 1 species